GACUGGGUAGCAUAAUGGUUAUGCGUGAGAUUGCAAAUCUUUGUCAAGGCGGUUCGAUUCCGCUCUCAGUCU
rnacentral:tRNA from 1 species